CGCGUAGGCGGCUUGGCAAGUGGAUGGUGAAAUCCCUCGGCUUAACCGAGGAACUGCCGUCCAAACUGCUUAGCUUGAGACCAGGAGAGGUGAGUGGAAUUCCCAGUGUAGCGGUGAAAUGCGUAGAUAUUGGGAGGAACACCAGUGGCGAAGGCGGCUCACUGGACUGGUACUGACGCUGAGGCGCGAAAGCGUGGGGAGCAAACG
rnacentral:rRNA from 1 species